CCCUCUCGAAGAACGAUUAAUCUCCAAUCGACUGCUACUGUCAUUGGAGGCUUUAAAGAAUCCACAUCAUCUCAAGUGCCGACUGUAUGGGAGGACGAGCUUCACAACGUGGUUCAUAUGGGCUUCAACUCGAGCACUCCUCCUAAUAGCCAAGAUUUAAGUGGUUCUCUACCACCAGGGCAUAUGAAAGCUGAACCCUGAUUUUUUUUUAAAAUUUUAAUUUAUGUGUAUUUAAUAAUUUGGUCCUUCUUUUUAUCCUUUGCUGAAAGACCCAUCUUCCGGGGGCCUGACAGCAAUAUUAGAGUUCACCUACUCCUCUAUCCAGAAGCUUAUCCCCUGUCUGGAAAUUCAAGAAGAUACAAAGCCUAGAUAGCAAUAGAAAAAUCAUGACCUUUGUGCAGUUACGAUCCAAUUAUCUAUCGUAAGGCGGGCCCACGCUCGAGUUCGGGCUUAUUUUCGAGUGCGAAUUUUAUGUAUUUUGAGUGAUUAGAGGAAAACAAGAUCAGGGUUUGUGUUUCAUUCUUGAAUUAUGAUUGUGGUAUGAGCUAUUAUUCUUGUUCAGUCUAUUCCUUUUUUCUUAGCUUGUAAAUAUUAUUAUUGUAUUGAAAGAUUAGUAGUAGCUUGUAAUUUGGGGAGGCUCAUAUUUGCUAGUAAUUUUUAGUUCUUUCAAAAA